AUAUUGAUUUGGCAGAUUAGUGCAUUAAAUUUAGAAUUUAAGUAUGUAAAGUUACAAUUAAUA
rnacentral:tRNA from 1 species